CUUCGUUUUUUGUGUAGCCAUUAACUUCUUUAAUGAGACUCUGCUGGAACAAAGAUGUAGCUAUUCCAGAGCUUGGCCAAGUGUUGUUAUUGCAGUUAAGACUAAAGUGUGCUUUUAACUUUGCAGCUUGUGAUGAAAGUUGUUGCAUCAGUGGGAGUUCCUGGCAAUACCUUCUUAGAUUCCCCGAGAUGAGCUUGCCUUGGGUAAUCUCAGAGAAAGCAGUGCAAUGCAGCUGGAUGCCAAGCUUUGGUCAGAGAUGUGAAAAGGCUAGGGUGGUACUCACUCUCCCUUGCACCUCCCUGGCAGUCUCUGAGGACAUAGCUUCAUUUCACCAGCUCCGGAUCCUAACUCAGAAUGAGAUUUCUUUGCACCAGCAAGUAACAAGACCUGUUCCAAAGAGCGAACUAUUUAAGUAGGCAUGAUGGACAAAGAGCAGCAGCAGAAAAUCAUCGUUAUUCCCCGCUUCAUGGAUGGCAAACUGAAAGACAGAUUCAAUGACCUGCCAAGGGUCACAUAGGAAAAAAGUAAUUCAUAAAUCCCAGCACAAGGUCUUAAGCCAUGAGAUCUCCUCUCAUUCUUUAAUCAAUAAUAAAACACCACAGAUGUCUAAGAAUCUAAUAUCUACAAAAUUGCUCCAAGGUCUACAGGCAUGAUACAAUUAAUUUCCAUUAAGAGCAAUGUGAUGUGAGGGCACUCUCUAUUGACCAGAAAAGUAGGCCUUGAAGAGUUUGCAGUUUUUAAAAUAUUCUUUUAAUAGAGAAUAUAAAGAUCAGGGAGAGUCAAAUUAAAAUAAAAAUGAGGGGAAACAGUUGCCAGUUUAGCUUUGAACCAAGCUAAAUCCAAAGUAACAGAUUC